AUGCAAGGAUCAUGGUGUUCCGACGGGCUGAGGAUGGCUUCGUCGGUUGGUGAGCGCGGCAGAUAUAUAGCGGAGAGGCGCGGCUUUGUUGGUAGCCGGCGGUUCUGGGCUUGCGUGGAGGCUUCGCAUGUUGCCGGUUAUUGGCGACAGUGGUCGGGCUGUUGGCGGUGGAUCCAUUGCAAAUGGGCGGCAACGAGGUUGUGGUUUGCUGAUGGGGUGCGACGAAGGAAGCUUGAUGGCGGUUCCUGGAUUCACUGCUUCUAA